rnacentral:rRNA from 1 species
AAGUAAAAGUCGUAACAAGGUUUCCGUAGGUGAACCUGCGGAAGGAUCAUUACCGAAUUGUCAACACGAGUUGUUGCUGGUCCUCAAAACGGGGGCAUGUGCACGCUCUGUUUACACAUCCACUUACACCUGUGCACCCUCUGUAGUUCUGUGGCGUGGGGGACUCUGUCCUCCUGCUGUGGUCCUACGUCUUUACACACACUCUGUAACAAAGUCUCAUGGAAUGCAUGACGCGUUUAACGCAAUACAAUACAACUUUCAGCAACGGAUCUCUUGGCUCUCGCAUCGAUGAAGAACGCAGCGAAAUGCGAUAAGUAAUGUGAAUUGCAGAAUUCAGUGAAUCAUCGAAUCUUUGAACGCACCUUGCGCCCUUUGGCUAUUCCGAAGGGCAUGCCUGUUUGAGUAUCAUGAACACCUCAACUCUCAUGGUUUGCCAUGAUGAGCUUGGACUUUGGAGGUCUUGCUGGCCUGCGGUCGGCUCCUCUCAAACGGAUCAGCUUGCCAGUGUUUGGUGGCAUCACGGGUGUGAUAACUAUCUACGCCUGUGGUUUUCUACCAGAUAACCUUCAGUGAUGGAGGUUCGCUGGAGCUCAUAAAUGUCUCUCCUCAGUGAAGACAGCUUUUUGAACNNNNGAUCUCAAAUCAGGUAGGACUACCCGCUGAACUUAAGCAUA